GAUGAACGCUAGCGGCAGGCUUAACACAUGCAAGUCGAGGGGUAUAGGUUUUCGGACCUAGAGACCGGCGCACGGGUGCGUAACGCGUAUGCAAUCUACCUUUCACAGAGAGAUAGCCCAGAGAAAUUUGGAUUAAUACCUCAUAGUAUAGCAGUUUCGCAUGAAACCACUAUUAAAGUUCCAACGGUGAAGGAUGAGCAUGCGUCCCAUUAGCUAGAUGGUAAGGUAACGGCUUACCAUGGCUACGAUGGGUAGGGGUUCUGAGAGGGAGAUCCCACACAGUGGUACUGCGACACGGACCAGACUCCUACGGGAGGCAGCGGUGAGGAAUAUUGGUCAAUGGACGCAAGUCUGAACCAGCCAUGCCGCGUGCAGGAUGACGGUCCUAUGGAUUGUAAACUGCUUUUGUACGAGAAGAAACAACAUUACGUGUAAUGUCUUGACGGUAUCGUAAGAAUAAGGAUCGGCUAACUCCGUGCCAGCCGCCGCAGUAACAC
rnacentral:rRNA from 1 species